rnacentral:lncRNA from 1 species
CCUGAACUUUGCGAUUAAAAAUUAGUUCUUAUAUCAUCAAAUUGUUGCACACCACGAAUUUGUUAUCUCCAUCAAUUCCGUAGAGCAAGUGGUAAAGAAUUUGGUGGUUGAUAUCCGAUGUUCCAAGUUCGAAUUCUAGUUGAUUCACAUUUCCAGCUAAGUUUAUUUCUAUACAAAAUAAACGAAGCGGGUAGCGUGUUGUCUAUCUCUCAAAAAAAAAAAAAAAAAAAAAAAAAA